rnacentral:lncRNA from 1 species
CAUCUGCGCCAGCCCCAGUCCCGGAGCACGUGCUCCGUGCCGGGUUUCCAAGGUUGCCGGGAAGGAACCCUGAGCAGCCGGUUUCAAGUUCAUGUUCCGGGCGGCUGCGCCAGCUCUGGAGGGUUUGCCUUAGUAGAUCGGCUUCUUGGUCCAAGAGUGGACCGCCUGGGAAAUCAGGCGCUCUCACACCCUCCCUGUUGCAAAAUAAGGCUGCAUUUUGACUUACCAAGGAAGCAUUUUUGGAGGGAAGGUGACGCAGUCAAGAAGAUUGGACUUCCAGGAUCAAUUGAAACGGUAACUGAAUGACCCUGGACGUGUACUAGACCUCAAUGCUAGAAGCGUUCUGCAGUGGAAAGUGUCGGAGUCCGGAGAUCUGAGUUCGAAUUCUAUCUUUAUCACUUACUAGCUAUGUGACUGGGCAAAUCGCUUAACUUCCCCAGGCCUCCGUUUCCUUGUCAAUAAAAAGAAGAGAUUGGACAAGUGGCCUCCAAGAUAGUUCUAUUUUCUAGUUCUAUUUCAUCCAACCCUGGGAUUUUACAAAUGUAAGAAUAAAGAGGUGGAGGCCAAAGAUUCACUGAAGCGCAUUUUACAGAUGAGGAAACCGAGGCAAACAAGGUUAAAUGACUUACCCAGGGCCACCCAACUGCCUUCCGGCACACAGUCCCUGUGCUCCAGCCCGGCCAGACCAUCGUCCUCUCUGACCUGGCUCUGUGAAAUGGGGCUAAAACCCAAAGAACGCUGACUCUGGAGUCAGAACCUGUGUGCGAAUCCUGGGUCUCCACCACAUACUACCUGUGUGAUGGCAGGUUCAGCAUUCCAACUACUGCAUUAUCUAGUUUUGGGAAGAUUGUUGAUAAACUGCCAUUGAAGGACAAGAGAAUACAAAAAAGGAGAAGACUUAACCUGAAUAAUGCCAAAAGAGCACACUGGAAGGAUGAGGAGGAGGAGGAGAAGGAAGAGGAGGAGGAGGAAGAAGAAGAAACCAAUCCAGGAAGGAUUGAUGCACUUCUAAGCCAAUACAAAGGACUUGAACCUAGAGUGAGACUCGAGGUUGUGAAGCAAUACCUUAAGACAUAGGCCUUCCUUGUAUCCACACUCUUCAUGAAAAUACUUACAAACAAGUCCCAAAAUUUGACUCCUACCUGGCUCCUAUAAUCUAGUCCCUUUUCUAUCUUUCAUAAUGUGGCAACUUUCUGUAGUCCUGGCUACUGACUGGGUAAAUGCAUCAUUGCUUAAAUCAUUUUAAUUGGGCCCUGAUUCAAGGACCUGUUAUAGAUUUAUUUUUCCUUUACUUAGAAUUUUUACACAUAAGACUUUGAUAGUCUAUAUUUCAUCCAGAAAUUAUCUUUUUUAUUUGGAUUUUUUGAUGUUUUUUUAUUUAUCUUGCCAAUUGAUUAAUAUACCUCAUAACUCAGCCAUGCAUCCCUAA